GCCCACGGUGGCUCAGAUGGAUAGAGCGUCUGCCAUGUAAGCAGGAGGUCCUGGGUUCGUGUCCCGGUCGGGGCA
rnacentral:tRNA from 1 species